ACACACGGCGGGUGCUAACGUCCGUCGUGAAGAGGGAAACAACCCAGACCGCCAGCUAAGGUCCCAAAGUCAUGGUUAAGUGGGAAACGAUGUGGGAAGGCACAGACAGCCAGGAUGUUGGCUUAGAAGCAGCCAUCAUUUAAAGAAAGCGUAAUAGCUCACUGGUCGAGUCGGCCUGCGCGGAAGAUGUAACGGGGCUAAACCAUGCACCGAAGCUGCGGCAGCGACACUAUGUGUUGUUGGGUAGGGGAGCGUUCUGUAAGCCGUUGAAGGUGGCCUGUGAGGGUUGCUGGAGGUAUCAGAAGUGCGAAUGCUGACAUAAGUAACGAUAAAGCGGGUGAAAAGCCCGCUCGCCGGAAGACCAAGGGUUCCUGUCCAACGUUAAUCGGGGCAGGGUGAGUCGACCCCUAAGGCGAGGCCGAAAGGCGUAGUCGAUGGGAAACAGGUUAAUAUUCCUGUACUCGGUGUUACUGCGAAGGGGGGACGGAGAAGGCUAUGUUAGCCGGGCGACGGUUGUC
rnacentral:rRNA from 1 species